UGCACGAUCAAGAUCACUUAUGAAAUAUUUUACAACACUAACUUUCCCCGAGCAUGUGUGCCACCUCUUUUUCUACACUUGCCCAGCAUAUAACUCCACUUUGUUGUACAUUCCUCAUGCUGAAGGACUCAUGACUUCGUGGAGCUAAUUUUCUUCCUGUUUCUCUUGAUAGGAUCACAUAGACACUGUUUGACCUAAUUAAGACAUGUCUUUCAAUUGAUGACCAAGUUAUUCUUGCGAUUCUAAAAAAGUCUCAAUUUUCAAAGAAGGCUUUGAUUAAGCUACAUUUUAAGAUCUGACUGAAAAUUCCGCAGGUAUGUCAUAUCACUAGAAUCAACAUAAAGUGACUAUAUAAAGAAAACAAACAAACAGCACAUAUUUGAAACACAAAAGGAAAGGGACACUUCAUUUAAUUGAAAUAAAAGAUAAAAGGGUUUGAACAUAAACGACAAAGGGACAAAACAAGAUAGAUCCCAAACUACAACCCUGAAAUAAUUCAAAAAACAGAAAAGAAAACAAAACAAACUACCAGACCUCUUCCUAGUAAGGAGAUGGGUGACUUUUCAAUUGCUCAUCCUGACAUAUUAGCCACUGGUUUGCAUAUCAACAUAACUAGAGCUUCCACCACUGUCAGACAUAUUUCCUUCAACAAAUAAGCUCUGGAUCCCCAUGCUUAACUCAUUGCCUCCCACAUACUGUGCAGUACCGCAUGCUGGUGAAGAACUCUGUGGGAUGGUCGAAGGGCCAAUGUUUUGCACCCCAAUCAAUUUAUCUUGAAUUAUCUUUUCUAUUUCUCUUUUCAAAGUGCGACAAUCUUCAGUACUAUGAACCUGAACAUCAAAAUGAUAUGCACAUCGCAUAUUAGGAUCAAAUCUUCUUGAAUGCGGGUCAGGAGUAUACCCAAGGAGAGGAGUGAUCAUGCCCUGAUGUACCAAUCUCUGGAAUAAAUUGGCAUAGGAUUCCCCAAUAGGAGUAAAAUUAUCUUUUUUCUUCCUCCUCUUUGCGAACUCUGGCCUCGGAUGAAAUUUGGAUUUAGAGUCCCCUUGGUAAAUUUGUGAAGGUCGAGGACGAUGUUGAGGGACAGGUGCAUGCCAUUAUGGAUAAGAAGAUGGAUGAGCAUAUAAUUGUGCAUUGUUCACAGAAUAUCGAGGAAGUGGAAUGGGAUUUCUUGGAGUUCAGAGAAAAAAACCUUAUUGCAAGUGGUUAUGUGGAUUUGAUAUGUAAGAUCGGGAUUGAGGCUGAUAGUAUUGGUGGGUUGGACCUCUCAAACUCUGCUUUGGCCCUGUCAUGACAAUAGAUGUGUUUUCCUUCUUCUUUCCUUCAGUUUCCCUUGGUUGAUUGCAAUGUCGUCUCGAAUGUUUCACAGAAUCCUUCUGUCCAUCAGGCUCCCCAAAUUUUGAUGUCUCAAAGCUAGGAGGAAGGUUAACACUUGAAGACAUGACCUAGUUUUUAUAUGAAACAUCUUCAUAGCCCAUAAGUCCAGGGAAAUUUUUCAUAUCAUUUUCUACAUUCUUCACUUUCCCAACCAUUUUCUCUUGCUCUUUUGGCAUGCUAGGCUUCUUAGUAAGAAAUUUUGGCGGUUCACUUAACUUAACUGUAGGCUCAAGAGUAUACCAAUAAUCAUCAACAGUAUUGAACGUGGAGUCACUAGUGGAUUGGGGAAGCACAAUCAUUGGAUUAAUAGACAAAGUGGAAGCCUUAGUAGAAGGUUGAGCAACAAAGCACAGAUGGUAUGUGGUGUUGUGAAUGUGGUAGACUUAUACUGAGGAGAUAAAGAAAGAGUGGUGGAAAUGUUGAGGUGCAUUUGAUGUGGAAUGGAUUCUGAGGCAUGCUGUGGUGCAUCAACAACAGUAGGAAACUGACUUUGCAAUUUUGGUAGAAGACUCAAAGUAUUUGCAGGUUCAAAAGUGGGGAACAAAGGUGGAGGCAGCCCACUGGCCCAAGCUCGGUACAUUCCCAUCAUUUGUCAAAUUCUCUUCCUUUAAACUCUCAAUUUUCUAACUCUUUGUUUCAUCCAUGAUGCCACUCUCUAUAUCCUUGUUGGACAUAACUAACCCUUCCUUGGAUUUGGUGUGAUAUGGAGGACCAGCCAGGAAACCACAAACCAACCACCUUAAACUAACUGAACAAGAGGCAACAAAUAUGAUAGAGUUUAACAUUUUUCAAAACCUCUUUUUUUUUCUUGAAAAAAAAUCGUCGAACCCUAGAAGGGCGCCUACGUAUCUCACCCCCGAAAGGGGAGAAUCAGGUGUGCGUAGUUCGUGAAGUCAUGUCAAAAUGGUCAAUUGAACUCGUUUUUUUUUUCCUCAAAACUUUAGGAAGAAAAGAAAAUAACAAUUUGUCAAAAAAAUUGACGAAAAUAUUUUUGAAAUUUUCAGCUUUAACAUCCCUAUACAAAGUGAAAUCUAUGAUUACCAAAGAAAAUCUUUUUGGGUUUUCAGUUUUAAAUUUCAUAUGAAAAUGGAACUUGAACCUAUUAAAGAAAAAUCUUUUUUGUAGUUUUGUUUUAAAGAUGUAUAUGAAACACCUACUCUAAAUGAAGAAUGAAGAAAAUCUUUUUGAAUUUUUGAAAUAAGAUCAACCAAAAAUGAAACCUACGACUAUUGAGAAAAACCUUUUUUUUUUUUUGUAUUUUUCUUUUCAAUACAUGUAUGAAACACCUACUCUAAAUGAAGAGUGAAGAAAAUCUUUUUGAAUUUUUGAAAUAAGAUCAACCAAAAAUGAAACCUACGACUAUUGAGAAAAAUCUUUUUUUUUUUUGUAUUUUUCUUUUCAAUACAUGUAUGAAACACCUACUCUAAAUGAAGAGUGAAAAAAAAUCUACUUUAAUUUUUUUUAAAUAAGAUCCUCGAACCAACAAUAGGCUGCCUACGUAUCUCACAUCCCGAAAGAGGAGAAUCAGGGGUGCGUAGUUUGUCCAGAUUGGACAAUUAAUGAUUAAAUAACGAAUUGCACCCUGACUUGAGACACGACCAAAGACAUGCGAUGAACAACAUAACAAAAUUUUUUUUUUGAGUUUUCAAUUUGACACUUCACAUAAAAAAUGACACCAACAGCUAUGAAAGAAAAUCUUUUUGGUAUUGUCGUUAUGUAAAAUGUACAAAACUUCUACCACCUUUUUUGAAUAAAAAUCUUUUUGGAGUUUACGAAUUGUGACUGCUUGCUAAAUGAAACAAAAGGAAAAUUUUUUUGAUGUUUUAUUUUUUUAUUAUUAUUAUUAUUUUUUGAAAAAUGAGUGCAAAAAAGUAAAAAAAAUCUUGCUUUUUUUUUUUUUUUGAAUUUUUGAAUCGUGGAAAACAAAAGCCAUAAAGAACCUAAAAACUACGAAACUCUUUUUUGAUUCACCUUAUCUCUUUUUUUUAAACACUUUCUUGUCUACACACUUUACUUCUAACACAUGUUUUUCCCAAAUCGGUCCGUCAAAUGACCACGUUACCCUCAAAGAUGUAACAUUUAGCACGUAGGGAUUCUUCAAAGGUGAGUCUCCUACAAAGGAUCGUGUGGGCCCCACUAGGUCUCAAUAUGAUGCACAUAAGAAUGACCUAAAGGCUGACCUACGUUGUGGUUUACUAACAAGGCCGUUCAGGGGAGCAUAUGGUCGAUAGUGGCUACUUUGCUUUCCACAUACUCCAUACAUCCAACGGCUCCCCCCUAAAAUAAAGGUGACUCAACUAGAUCCGAGACUUGUUGCGGAAAGAAUGACUCGGGUUAUGCACAUGAUGUCAGAUAUAAAAGCGGUAACACAUAGGAUAAAUACUGUAAACAAAGAGCACGAAAAUGCACAAAAGUGAAAAAACAAGCAAAAAUCACAAACAAUGCUUAUACACUCAUAAUGCCAAACAAAGCCGAUACGACUCCAAAAAAGCUCUGAUUCUGAAAUAAUCCCCAGCAGAGACGCCAGAACUGUCACACCCCUUUUUCGACUCCAAAAAAAGAUAUUGUUUUAAGUUUUGAAAGAGUUUUAUUAUUAAAGUGACAAAAGAUGAAAAUUGUUUCGAAAAGGAUUCAUUGGUUUCAAAACUCAGAGUCGCCACUUGGCAUAAAUCGGGUGUGCCAAGUCACCCAUGAAUAUCCUUUUUCAAAACGGUUUUGACUCUAUAAAACUGAUCCGCAAACAGAGAUUCCGGCUAAGAAAUUCUGUUGAUCGAGGGGAAGGUGUUAGGUACCCCUCGAUCCCGUGGUUCGACCACAGUCGCUUGGUAGAGCAUAUCGGCUAACUUUGACACUACGAGGGUGUAAACCACACAAACAUGCAAAAAAAACAAUCAAGCAAGAAAACAAGAUAACACAAUCCAAAAUUUAGUGUCCAGUCCAAUUAUACAGUUCAAAAAUAAAAAAUGCAUAAAAAUAAAUCCUACAUUAAAUUAAUUCUAGGCUAAUGCUCUACUCGACGCCCGGACCUUCAUCACGAACGUCCUCCGGGUACAUGAUACCUCGAGGCAUUUUUCGGUGAAUAAAUAUAUACAGAUACUUUGGGGUAUUUCCCGGCCAAAUUAUACAAUUGAUUCAAAAGUGAUAAAACAAAACAAUUCCAACACAUAUUUCAAACAUUCCACAAAACCACGAGUCCUAAGUUUGCCUACCCUGAACCUAAGAUUUACCUAACGACCCUCAACCUAAAACAUGCUACUAUCAAGAUCAACAUAAUUAACAUUCAUUUCAAUUUAAACAACCAAAAACAAAUCGACAUAAACUCACAUUCAUGUUUAUUAAUUCUUCGAUUCCGCUCCAAUUUCACUCUUAACCAAGGAUAAUCAACAUUAAUAUGAAAUCAACCAAUCAAAAUCACCACCGUGACAAUCAAAAUUGCUCAAAAACACACAAUCAAAACAUAUCAACAAUUCACACCAUCACUCACAUAAGAUUGACAAAAUUAUAAAGAAAGAGAUGAAAAUUGGACCUCAAAUGUUGCCUCAAUCAACCAAAUUCCUUUAGCAAUCUCACGAGUUCAUAAAAAGAGCAUCGACUGGAACCACGCCAAUCUCGAACUAACAAUGACCUCAACUCGAACCCAAAACUGAAUCAAAUCUGACCAAAAAAUGAAAUCUAGAACGAGAUUUUUGUAUCCGUUUGAGAUACGGAUGGAAUUCCGAUGAGAUUUGAACUAGAAAAUGAAGGGGAGAAUGUCCUUCCUACGUGAGUUUGAUCGGAGUGAAGCUGGUGAUACUUUUUCUGUGGGUUUUGCCGAAUUUCUCUCCCUUUCUCUGAUUUGUUGGCUGUUUCGAUCUCAACCUUCUCUCUCUGUUUGUUUUUCUCUCUUUUUACCUCUCUCAAUCGAUUGUCUAUGAGUGAUGUCGUGUGUGUAGAGCUGUGCGUACUUGGUGUUAAUUGAGUAUAUCCGUGAGUGUGUGGUGGUGUGCGUUCUUCAGAAAAAUGGCGUGGCUCAUUGGUCAAGAGUGUGUGUUCCUAUGGAAAUUUCCCUGUGUGUGAGAUUGUGAGUGAAGAAGAAAAGAAGAAAUGGGGGUCUGUGUGUAUGUUUUCCAACAGAAACUAAGAAAACGUGUUCUUGUUCCUUUUUGAGAAAAAAUGAAUCCCCGCCCCUGUAUGUGUAUUGUUUACAUAUAUAUAUC
rnacentral:lncRNA from 1 species